rnacentral:lncRNA from 1 species
GUAAGGGGUCAUCCAUAAUUGUCAACCAUUUUCCAAAGUGUACAAAACGUACACUUGGGGGGAGGGGGUUAAAAAAUCUACAUUUUUACCGUACGCUUUUUUUUUUAUUUCCGGAAUUUAUAUCGUUUCCGUAGGGAAAGUCGAUUUAUAAAAUCGAGAAUUGGCUUGGGUGUGUUUCUCUUCUUAUUUCUUCUUUAUUAUUGUCACUUGAUGAUAUUGAUUUCGAUAUCAUAAUUCUACUCAAUCGGGAUUGAACGAUUAAAAGAUCAAAUCAUAUGAAAACUAAAUCUUUCAAAAAUGUGAACUAGUAAAAUUAUUUAAACAAAAAGUUUGCAAGCAUUUCUCAGUACCCCCGAUUGUCAAUUUCACCUGCUUUAUUAUUGAUCGAUAUCGUUUUACUCUGUUUAAUAAACAAAAUUGAUGGAAACACUAAAUUCUUUGAAUGUUUUGAUUUUGACAAGACGCCAUUUUGUGAAAAGAUUUUAAACUGGUCCUUCGAUUGAUUUCCUUGUAAUGCAUUCCAAAAUAGUAAACCAGUAAACCGGAAGUAAAC